rnacentral:snRNA from 1 species
UGAUGUGAGGGUGAUCUGGCUGUGACAUCUGUCACCCCAUUGAUCUCCAGGGUUGAUUCAGCUGAUCUGGCUAGCUAGGCGGGUGUCCCCUUCCUCCCUUUAAUGUUCCACGUGUGUUCCUCCUGAAGCUGCACGCUGGGUGGAAGAGGAUGACCUUUCCCAAUGGCGGAGGACAGUUCUUCGUUCAGGGUAUAGGAGUAGCUGCACUCCCGUUAGAACCUCCAAACAAGCUCUCAAGUGCCAUAUGUCCUGGGUGAGAUUCUGUAACAAGCAAAGGAUAUCGGAAUCAAGGAAAUCUGAAUAUAUUAUGGACCUU